UAGUCUGGCUUACGUAAAAAUCGUAGGGAAUACUGGGUAAAUCUGGGCCCUUCCUUGGUUACAAACUGGUCACCAAGGAAGGCCUAGACUUAACUACCACAGAAAAAUACUGCAUUUCCCCUCCCCUAGUAGCUAUAAGUUUUCCCAAAGAUUACUUUUUUCCUCCAUGCUUGAGAGCUUCAAAAGUGGCCCCAAUCAGAGAAAUGAUCAAGGGCUGGAUCUGCUGAAACCAUCACUGAAAGCAAAUCAUACUCAUGAGCCACCCUAAUGAGCUUCAAAAGGUUAUAUUCUCUUUGAGUUAGCAUUCAACCUUCAGAAAGAGACAAAACCACGAGAAAACAUAGGUGAAGUUCUCAUAGUCUCUCUAUUGUGAAUGGCAGAAGACAUGGAAACAAGCUAUGUUAAUCCAUACCUGCUUUAUCAAGAAGAAAAACUCUGCAUAUGAACAUGGACCAAGAGUCAAAGUUGCCCUCUGUUUAACAAACUCAUUACAAGGUAUACUUGUGAAAAACUAUUUCUUCAAAUAUCUAUUUGUUUCAGAGUUCCACAACUCAAGCUAGUACUGGAUUUAAAAAUCCAGGCUAUACUAUCCUUGUCUGGAAUGAUUUCUACACAAAAUGAAAAGUAACUUGCAAGAUUCUUAGAUCUACAGUUUAAGCUGUUCUUCUAUUUGCCCUUGUUUUGGUACAUUUUCACUACCUGAAACAUUGCUGUCCAAUGCCCAACUCUUUCACUGUGAAAGCUGCAAAGAAAGCAUAAUAAAAAUGGAACCACAUACCAGCUUAGUGCAUCUAAACACAGAUGACAGUUUCAGGUAGAAACUGUAGGAAUUAUUAUGUCAAAUCAAAUUACAUUGGUCCAAAAAUGUUUUUCCUAUGAGCAGAAGUUGUCAUAUGCACAAAAAAAGUCUCAAGAGUUUAAGUAUUACAGUUUGGGACAGGAUG